rnacentral:lncRNA from 1 species
AUACCCCAAAAUUUAAACAUUACCAUCAGUUCAUGAUCACUAAAUCCAGGAAGAAACAAUGGUCAAUACAUACAGGAAUCGUUUUUUUUUUUUUUUUUGUACUUUUUCUCUUACCGUUGUCGUAAAUACAAAUCGAGUAAGGCCAGACUAUUGUUGGAAUGAAAUUGAAUAGGAACCAGUAUUUGGGUCUUUGACAGCCUUGAAGUUGUCCACACUCAUACCAAAACGACCCAACAAAGAAUUGCCCAUGUCUUUCAACUUUCCUGCUCGAACAAAAAAUAUGGCAUUGCAAAUUAUAAAAAUACGGAACGAAUUAUCGACUUAGAUGACGAAGUAAUUGACAAUAUCCAAUGUGUAUUUAGCAUUUAGAUUCAUCUGUUGGCCGAUGUGCAAACUAUGUGUAGGGUCAAAUGCAGUAGCAUGUCACUCAAAGGCGGGGCGAGGAAAGGGGAGCAAUGUGGUAAUUGACCAAAAUAAUAUACAUGGAAGAAAUAGGCUUUGAAGUUUUUUCUUGAAAUUUUUUUGUAGGUAAUAAAGUUAGAACGUAAAAUCUUGCCCCUCCUAACAAAAAUUUGUUAGCCUCUGGUUCAGUUCUUUGUUAGUGCAUUGCAAUGUCCAUCAAGAAAUUACGGCAUUACUUUGCAUGCACGUGGCUAAAUUUCCAAUGAUAGGGGAAGCAAGUUCUAGAACAAAGAUGAAUGAAAUAUGAUACAGAAAAAUAGUUUUAAAACAGUAAAAGGCCUACCGAUCAUCUCUUCUUUCAUCUUUUCUCGUUUUUGUUCGGCUAGAGGUUCAAGGCGACGGAUAGUCUUCUUAGCUUGGUCAUUUGAUGAAUCCAAUUCCAAUAUCUUUUUCAUAUCUGCAAGCAAAUAAAAUAUAGAUGACCUCAUGAGUUAAUAAAUAAAAAUAACUUGUAAGCAAAGCAAAGCAAAGUUUACCAUUAAUGGCCUCCUCAAAAUGUUCAAGCUUCUCGUGAGCCUCUCCUCUUCUAGACAAAGCUUUGACAUAUGCAGGAUUCAGCUCAAUUGCCUUGGAGCAUGCUUUGAUAGUGUCAGCAUAUUUUUCCUUGGAAAAAAUUAUGACCAAGAAAAUCAGUACGCAAUGCAAACAUAAAGUAUACUGUUGAAGAGAGAAAAAAGAUAUGUGGAAUUAAAGCAAAACCUCACAAUAACUACCUAGUUUCAAUCCAUCCAACUCAAUUUAGAAGUCUUUUCGUUCAUUCUAUGAAAUGUUUUUUCAAUUGAAAAAGAGAAGCAAUCAGACCAAAAUAAUGUUUGACGAACAAAUUAAGUUCAAAAGACAACCUUUUUCUUUAUGAGGUAACUAAAAAUGAAACCAGAGAAUGUUAAGUAAUCAUGGCUCAGAUGCUGUCUGUUAUCUUCCUAAUUUGACUAUUCCAUCGACAAUAUCGAUGUGAAGAUUGAUAUAACAGCUUAAAAGACACCAACAAGUGUGUGCAUAAUGGACAACCUCGUCAUUUGUGGUGAGGUAAGCUUAAUUCCACAGGUUCAUGCACAAGCCAAAAAAGAAAAAAAUUUGAUGCAUACACUCUGAAGUAGGCAUGAGUAAUAUUUAGAGGCUGAUGUAAAAAGGAAAAUUUUCAGGCAUGUGAACAGAUCAAAUCAAUCCUCAAGGCCUUGGUUUUGUGAAGGAUAAUAAUUUUCAAGAGAAAGUCCACGGUCCUGAGGCCUUGUGUCGGGAAGGACGACCAUCAGACAACAGAAAUAAAUCCUUUGCAUAGAGAGUUUAUUUUAAAUUUCAACUUUCAGGUAAUGUAUAAGCUUCUGUAUACAAUUUAAAGGAGAGAAGAGAAAACAGAAUAUGUUAUGAUUUUUGUCAUUUAUCAAAGCAACAUCAUAUCCCCAAAAUUAAUCAAGGUCUUCACAAAGUUCCACAAGUUUCUAUACUUAUAAACGGGAUUUUAAUUCAUUGGUUUCUUUCUACGUUAGUGAUUAGUGAACUGAGUCAAACAGCCUCAAGAUGUACAAAUCACAUAGAUUAAUAGUUACUAACAGUUGACAGAUAACCCUCCGGUGUCAUUAAAGAUAUGGUUAUAAUGCAUCGAGAAAAUGGAAAAAAUAUCAAAACAAUAAAAUACACUAGAUUCUUUCAGUUUAGGAUAUAGUAAAGGCAUACUAGUUUUAGGAAACACACGCCACGAUUUGCAUGGCAUAUGGACUGUAACUCCACCGCAGCGGGCACGUCUGGAGCAAUGUUUAAAGCACGAUCAUACUCUGAUAUUGCCUCCUCAUAUUUUCCUUCUCCAAACAGUUUGUUGCCCGCCAACUUCGCAUUAUUUGCUUCAGCCAAGGCUUUCUGCCAGAUAUGUAAUGUGUGAAUUUACAUCCAUGCAACCAGAGAAGAAAUGUUCCAAGAAAAAUGAGCCCGCAUAAAGGACGAGCAUAUCAUGAAAAUUACAAAAUUUCAACAGCUUAGGUGACCAUUUACCAAGUAACUAAUUUCUAGAUAAAAGAGACCCAUUUCUCAUUACUACUGGGGGAAUCCACGAUAGAACUAUAAGAGGAUUGUGCCACUUGUAUUAUCACAAUCAACUAGGAAAAUCAAGAUCCUAAACAAAUUACAAACUGCCAACAGCUCCCUUAGCUCCAUAAAUUAUCCACAACUUAAAAUUCCCUAUAUUCCGAAUUUGUUUCAAAAGGGAUUUCCUUAUUGCACACGAAAGCAAAAAAUCAACGACCCCUGAUAUCUUAAUCGAACUCGAAGCGAUAUGGAGACUAAUCGUUUUCGCCCAUUCAUCAAUUCUCAUUCAAACAUUUCAAUUGGGAACCAAUAUUGCCAACAGAGUAAAUGACCCUAAAAUCAAUGAAGGAAAGAAAAAAAAGCACUACACGAAGUACUGUAAAGUUAAAACGGAUACCAGAACAAAAAUAAUCAAAACACUAAUGUCAAGGCAUACUAACCGAAGAAACCAAUAGUGCAAAUAAAACACAACGCAGAAAACAACAAUAAACAAAGUUCAAAGAAUGGGAAAAAGAAAAAACCUCCUUAAUCUCAUCUUCACUGAGCGUGGCAAUUCGUUCCUCCUGUUCUGAAUGUUGAUCAGGAUUCUCUUGACACUCGUCGGCACUAUCACCAAGCUCCCCAUCGCUGGCAGUCUCGUAACCAUCGGAAGGGUUUUUGCUAGCAUUGGACGUUGAAGGAACGCUGCUUGAAUCCGUCGUCGUUUUGACCGACGAAGAGGGCUUCGGAGGACUGGGAACUUCGUCGUGGGGUUCCUCCAUUUCUAUGCGAACCAUUUUUCUACAGAGAUCAACGGAAUUUCUGAGGAGAUUUGAAAUGAUUUGGUUCUGAGAAUUUGGGUUUUAGGGAGAGAAGAAGAAGAGAGAUUGUGUUUGUAUAUAGAAUUUGUUAGAAGGUGAAGAACGGACAUUUUGCUUCCAGAAGCCUCUUUGUAGAUUCUUUUGGGCUUUAGACAUUUUGGGCUCAUCUACGUCCAAAUAAUAUGAUUUUUUUUACAUUAACUAUCUUCGGACUUAUAACGAAAUAAGAAAAUUUGACGAACGUCGAUUAUCUUUUUCCAAAGUUUAGUAGUCAAUGUUAUCGUACAAAAUUAUUUCAUAUGUACGUGGUUUUCUAGAUUAAACUCACGACCUUUCGACUAACUUAUGAUGGCUUGUGACUUAAAUUCCUAUCGAUUAAAUUUUAAAAUAAAUAAUAAAUUAAAAGUUUAAACUCGAGUAGUGAAACUCAAUUAGUUAUAAUUGUUGUAAAUUAAUUAAUAGGUCCUACCCUUGAAAGGAAGAAGUAAGAUUUUAAAGUUAAAAGUGUAAAUUACGAAAAAUAUAAAAAAUAUUAUUUUUGAAACCUACGGUUAAACUUUGGGAUGUAGUUAUUAUUUUACAAAAAAUAUAGAUAUAAAAGAUCAUACACAUAAGUUGGUAACCUAAUUUGAUUAUAUCGUGCCUACAUUGGAAGGAGUGUGCUCGAGAAAGAUAAUCCAAUAACAUAAUUAAGUUAAGCAAUUAGAACAUUGUAUUUAUUUAUAGACGACAAAUGUUAGGGAGAGUCUAACUAACCUAAACACUUAGGCCUUUAAUUCUAUUACGAUAUUCCCUUCCUUUUGUUGUUAUGCUACUCUAAGCAUUUGGAUAUUACUCAAGUACAACUUAGACUCCAUCUCACUUGAAGUAGUUUUUUUUCUUACUCAUCUUGUAAACUCCCUUCACUUGAAAAACUUAAGCUCUUCCAAGCAUACAAACACUUCAUUGGCACAUGGAGAAACAUGUAUCGUUCCUGCAUUUUCUCUUCCUCUCUUCCUCUUCUCACUCGUAAAUUAAUAUCCUUUCUCUUGCCGUGGGAGUUGGUGUGUGGUUUUUGCCAAGGCUAGUUACAAAUGAGAUUUCUAGUAGAAGAAAGAUAAUUGAAGGAAGUAGAAAUGAAAAAAAAAAAGUUUCGUCGAAGUUGAUUUACUAGAAAAAUUGUGAUCUUCGAAGAGAAGAAGAAAAAAAAAUUAAUUAAUUAAAAUGCAACUUCGUAAUUUCACUCGUUCGUGAUAGGAUCGUAUCUAAAUUAAUAUCAAUAUUGUUUGAAGAGAGUGAGACAUUUUGAAUGGAAUAUAAAAAAUAGGUAGGCAAUGCAAUUAUUCCUAAAAGCUCUAUAUUGCAACAUAACUAAUACAAAAGUUGAUAUUUAAAACAUGCGAUAAAUGAAAAUGAAUAAUUCUUCCGUUAUUACAACUUUAUUAAGCAAUAGAAAUAAUUUUCAAAGGGUCAAUGUAGCUGAACUCAAUUACGCUUCUUCUUCACUCAUUCGGAGCUUCAACGUCCUUUCAAUUUCAUUCUUCCCUCUCAAAAUCGCCUCCUUCAUUAAUGGCAACUGAAGAACCUUCUUCCUCCUCGCCGCCCCUCCAUGGCGGCGCUGCUCUUAAUCCUCCUCCUCCUCCUCCUCCUUCCACUGACAUAGCAGCUUCAGCUUCUUCCGCUAUUGAUUUUCUCACUCUCUGUCACCGCCUCAAGGUAACUUUAAAUGCUGCCCACUCAAGCAAUUCUCACUCUAGUUUUAAGUUUCUAGAAAUGAUAGCAAAAGGGAUUAAGGAAAAUUUGUAACCAAAGUUAGUAGCGGAGUACUGGAAAUUUUGAGGGUUUAUAUUAAUGGAUUCAUCAUUAUCAAUCAUCUUUGAAUAAAUAUUUGUUGAGUUUUUUAUUUUUUAUUUUUUAUUUUUUUUUAAUUUCUAUAGUUGCCAAACAGGGGAUGAAGCUCAUUCCCAAUUUUCUGUUUAAAUGUUAGAGUAUGAAUUUCUCUUAUUCAUUAAUAGCCUUUUGACUCCCAAUAAACCAAACGGUAAUCUGGUUUAGUUUUUUUUUUACGUACGAGUGAUCCAUUCACAUGUGUCUUUAUUGAUGAAUCGCCCCCAUAAAUGUAUGAAAUUGGACCUUCUUCUUAAGCAUAACACACUGAAGUAUAGCAUCAGAGAUGGUCAUACAUAUCAUAGCCCAGUGCUUUCUAAAGCUCAAAUCGCAAUAAAGUGCAAUAGUCUUAUGGGGCUUACGCGCAAGGCACAAGAAAAGAAAAAAGGCUGGGUUUUUUUUGUGAGGUGCACUAUGUAUAAAGUUACCACAUUAAGAAGAGAAAGCAUAGUUGAAGUGAAAAUAUGGGGAAAAAAACAGAAGAAGAAAAAGACCUCUAACACAAGAAAUUUUGCAUCUAGGCUUAGUAAGUUUUAGUUUUUAAAAAACUUAAUAGAAGGAAAACUAAUUACUACUAUUUUCAAAAAUAAUGAACAAGCCCCAAGGGGAGGGCUUUGAGCCAUAGGGCUUCAACUUUUCAAGGUGGGGCACAAGACUUGAGCCUAGGCGCAAGGUCGAGAGGGCUUUUUAAAAUAUUAUUGUAGCUCUAACGUGAUGAUCAUCUCAAUCACAAUCUUUCAUUUUUCUAUUGUGUUUUCCCUAUUGUUUCAUAGUUUUUUGUGUUUUUGGGUGAGAAAAUGAAGAACACGAUAGGGACGACCAUUGACCCAUACCUCUUAAAACUGAAGUGAGGUAUUCAUGCUGGUGAUCUUACAGCCAACUAAUCUCGAUGAAGGGGCUCCACUACUGGCUUUUGCCUUUUCUUUGGUGACUCUCAACGAGAUUGGAAGAGCAAGAAAGAGAUUAUUUUGGUGCAAAAGCCAAGGGGCUCUUGCUGAUACUGCAUUAGAGAUUAUUUUGUUGGGAUGGCUACAACAAGAUACGGGAGUCACUUUUUCCGGGCCUACUAUUCUUAUUUGUGACAACAAGAGUGCUAUCCAAAUAGCACACAGUGAUGUGUUUCAUGAACGAACAAAACAUGUCGAAAUUGCGUUACUCACUUAAGGCACAUAUUAGAGCUACACUUGGCUAUCCCUAACACAAUACGCUAGUUUGUUGUGUUUUUCUCAUUUUUCUCACAGUAUGUUGCGUUUUCCCAUGAAUAUUGUGAAAAAAAUGAAAGCACAAUAGAAAUGGUAAUCACAUUAGAGCUACAAUAGACAUGGUCAUCUGCAACAUGUAACAAUGUGUUCGGAUGGGAUCAACAUGUAACACACGUUAUAAAAUAUAACAAUGUGUUCGGAUGUAAGUGGAAGGUUAGAUUUCAUCCGUUUGUUGGAGGCAGGUCAUUAAUCAUAAAGGUUCUUGUGAAAAGGUCAUCCGUACAAAAAUCUUAAUUUGGUUCGUGUUCUAUAUUUUACAGUUUUUUAGUGUUGUUUGACCAUGCUACUUUAUGUUAAUCUGAAUUAGACUACGAAAAGAACUGGAUGGGUUCAGAGGAGAGUCAAGGAUCCGGAAUCCAUAGCAGAUCAUAUGUACCGAAUGGGAAUAAUGGCACUCAUUAGUUCAGAUAUUCCGGGCGUUGAUAGAGACAAGUUUGCUAUUCCUAACCUUUCAUUAUUCAGCUCUUAUGAUAUGUUCAUUCUUCACCGUUUUUCAUUGUUUUUGCCCCUUGUAACGGUGUGUGGAAGGUGUUUUGAUUCUAUAUUUAUGUAUAUUUUCAGGUGUAUAAAAAUGGCCAUUGUACAUGACAUUGCCGAAGGUGAGAUAUACUUUAAUUGUCCCAUUCCGUUCGUUAUGUAAUAAUGUGAUUUGAACUUGCACUAAGCCUUACAAGAGACAGUGAUAACAUCUUUUGUCUGAUGUUGGGCUAUGACGAUAUCUAUAUUGUUGCUUGUAUGUUUUUCUGAAAUGAAUUCCAUGUUCUUGGGGUUCUAAUUUUCUUUAAAAUUCAGUUCUGAUUUCUUAUAGUUUGGCAAUUUCCCUAAAAGUGUAACAUUGAAAGACUAGACUGUUGGAAUGUUUUAGGUAUUCAAGUAGUCAACCUAUUGCCUUAAAAAGGAUGAGAAAUCAAUCUAUUUCAUGCUUCUGUAGGCAAUCAAACAGUCAACCAUAUUCAUCUUGGCUUGUUGGAAUGCUGUUAUUAAAUGAAAAUUUUCAUAAUGUGUAUAUCAUUUGAUCAGCAAUUGUUGGUGACAUUACCCCAUAUGAUGGGAUUUCAAAGUCGGAAAAGCUUAGACGUGAACAAGAAGCAUUAGACCACAUGUGCAAGUUACUUGGUGGUGGAUCAAGAGGUAUGCACAUCCAGUCAUAUAUUUUGAGUUUCAUUCCCAAUGGUCAAGAUAUAUUUUUCCUGCGUAUAUCAUUGUUUGGCUGUCAACACCAUUUUCUUUUUUAAAAAAAAUUGUGUGAAAAUUGCAGCCCAGGAAAUCAGUGAAUUGUGGAUGGACUAUGAAAAUAACAGUUCACCAGAAGCUAAAAUUGUGAAGGAUCUUGAUAAGGUAAUAAGCUAUCUAAGCUUAGCAAGUUAUGCAACUAAGCUCCAUGCUUAAUAUUUGCUCUGCUUGAUCCCAUUGAUGUUGUCUUUUUGUAAUUCUUUCAAACAAGCAUCUUGCACAUAUGCUAUAUGCGCAUAAACAAUAAUUUAGCACUUAUAAUCUCAAAUAUAUUUUCUAAAAACUGAAAUGUUAAGAUAAAUAAGUUGGACUAAGCCUUACAAGAGACAGUGAUAGCAUCUUUUGACUGAUGUUGGGUUGACAUCUUUCUAGCUGAUUGUUAUUGGGAUGUGAGAGUGGACAAUAAAGUUAUUGCAUAGUCUAUAAUGGAUCAAAAUGCAGCAGGUAGCUGUAGCAGUAGUCAGUUGAUGAAAAUUUGUGAGAAAAAUGGAGUAGAAUAAGAUAUUUUUAGCAUCGCAUUUGAGCAUUGUGGAAAUUUAUUUAACUAUUUGACCAGGGAGUGUAUGCGGUAAUUUUAUUUGGGAAUUAUGCUCGACUGCAAAGAAUUUUUUUGUUUUAUAUCCAUAUCGUUUAACCUAUAUUUACUUUUCAUGACUUUCUUCAGGUGGAGAUGAUUCUUCAAGCUUUAGAGUAUGAAAACGGUGAGUUUUCUUUUCCUGAUAUAUAUUUACAUAGUUUUUUUAAUUGUUAAACUUAUUUCUCAAAAGCCAAUGCUUUCUUUAAUGGCUAGCAUAUGUUAAAUUUGAAAGUUGGAGAGGAAGGAAGUGCAAGUUAUGCUAUGACAUUUAUACGGCGAAGUAACAACGGUUUGCUGAAGUCUUAAAAUCUUAUUGACAAGGGUCCAUGGUUAGAUUACAUCUUGCAUGUAUGUGAUACCUAAUCUAAACAUAAUUUAUUUAAGAUACUUCCUCGACUAUUGAAAGCUGGUUCAUGUUCAUAGCCAGUUCGUCUCAUAAAAUGCAUUCAUCAAGAAUAACAAGAACUAAGGAGAAAGGGUAGGUUUUGUUUCCCACAUUUGUGGAACUUCAAGAAUCUUAGCGAAGAUCAACAGGAAUGUUUGUCUUGUAGCAAUAAAUUUCUUUCUGUAUGUUGAGACAGCACGCUAGUACAUUUUUUUUCACAGAGACCAACUCCAAAGUCCGGUCUUUAAAUUAAUAAAGAUGGCAUUUUAAAAAAUAGGAGACUGACUAGCAUCACGCAUGAAAGGGUAACUUAUUCACAAGAUUCCAGCUCGAGCGAGGAAGAAAAACCUCAGCAUCAAAGAGAGGAACUAGUGGGCCAAGAUAGGCAACUAAAGAAACAACAAACUAACCAGCUAAUGUUGAUGCUUCUAAGAGAUUAAAGGACCUAGAAGCUUGACUUACACAGAAUUGUUCGAGCUCACUCAAUUCCGGAGAUCCCUUGGAAAUAUAGUUGGGAAGAUAACAAGAAAGAAGUAAGCAGAUUCGUCUUACCAGGUUAACAAGGCAAAGAGGUGGGAAGAGGAAUGAAUUGGUUGAUAGCCUAGAUCAGGAUAUGGAAACUAAGAAAGGUAUGCUAAACUCAAACAAAAAAUAAAUAAAUGAACACGUAAAUGAGUAUCAGAAAUAGGUUUGGGGGAAUAUUGCAAAGAAUACUUCAGUCUUGUCACGAUAUUUUUUGUUUCCUUCUGGGCUUGCACAUUUCUUAAAAUUAGUAUUUCUCCUAAAGCUUUCAAUAAUGUUAUUAGAUCAUUUUAUUCUUAAAUAGUUUUGUCUUAUUAUUAUUAUUCUUAUCUUUGACUACGCUAAAUACUACAACUGAUGAUGGUAAUCAAAAUUGUUUAUCUGCGUGCAGAGCAAGGAAAAGAUUUGGAUGAGUUUUUUCAGUCAACUGCAGGUACAUUUAUUUAUCUUCCGUUUUUUUUUCUUUGGUGUGUGUUUGGCAUGUCUUUUGAAAAAAAAGUGUAUUGAAGUGAAACGUUAAUCAUGUAAGCUCUUAGAGAAGAAAUUAAUGAAACUCUUGUUCUCUAAAACUACACCAGCUGCAUUUCAUUCAUUUUGAAGAAUACUCUUAUUUUAAGUCUCUGUUAGCACUUGGACAUGCCAAUCACACAUUUAUUCCAUAAAUCUUCACUCAGGAAAGUUUCAGACAGAACUGGGACGAGCUUGGGCAUCUGAAAUAGUAUCAAGGAGAAGUUCUGUCAAUGAUGGCGCAACACCUAAUAUUUCAGAGAAUUAAGAUACCAAUUCACAGCCAACAUUUGAGGUUACAGUUUGUUUAGCGACACAACUGCUUCUUCUAUUUAAUUUUCCAUUCUCAUUGAUCAUAUUAAGAAAAAUUUUCAAAACUCUCAUCCAUGAUCAUUGUAAGCAUUUUUUUUUUUUGUUGAAUUGCUAGAGAACAUAAUUCUUAAAUCAUGCUCAGAGGUCUACGCCUCUCUAAAUUAUGGUGUCAGUAAAGCCUACUCGUUGUUCAAGUUAUAUGUUGUGUUUUGUCAUUGUGUGGUGGGACUAUCGGAGAAAAUGGCACAUUAGCUUAAAUAGAGAAUGUCAUACACGUUUCUAAAUCCAAGCUUUUGAAACCCUCUGCUUAAUCUUAAUGCUUGAGGCCUAGGAUUUGGAUCACGAUUCUAAAUAUGAAUUUGGUCCCUAGGGGAUCUAGCAUUUGUCAUACAGAAAACAAGUUGGCUUCUUUUCCUUGGAAGGGAAGUCCUCAAAUCCUCUUCAUUCUAUGUCUCCUCUUUAGACACAAUCAUCAAGAGUUAGUAUGGAAGUUGUUAAGGGAAGAGGUAGAGAGCUGAUAAUAAUCUUUCUUAGAAGUAGCUCCUCACAUUCCCUACGACUUCGCUACAUCAACUACUUAUCUUUUGGUGCGUAGAGUAAAGAUCUCCCCAUAUCAAGCUAGGUUAUUUUAACUGGUUCUGCCCUUAUUCACUUCAUUCUUAGGAAAAUUCUGAAGAGGUCACCAACAUAGGAAUAGUUUGAAUCUUGGAUCUGAGGCGUUAGAUAAUCCACAUGCUUAAGAUACUUAAUCCACGUUUCAAACAUCUCCUAAGCAGUCUAGACACUUCAUGAGUUGGAUCAAAGGCAUCUCAUGGUAGUUGAACUAUAAUAGUGUGUAACAAGAAACAUUUGUUCAUGCUCAAUCAAAUUGGAAAAUAUAGUUCGAAUGCUAUGGUUUUAGUGCAAACUAAAGUCCUCAACUUCAAUAAUUGCAAGAUGCAAAGUCCAAAUUUGGUUAUCUAUCAUAAAGAUGGACGACUUCACCCAACUUAGUUUUUAUUUUAAAAAUUAAAUUCAAAUCAUCUUGGUUUGUUUUCUGCUACAACUUUACCCAAUAUGCUCAUUUGCAAAUUAGAUGAUAUUUGAGACAAUAUUAAAACAUAAAGCUAAAACAUCCUAUAUUUAGACACAAUGUAUGUUUUGUUAGUCUUUUAACUUUUAUUGGUUGCUAUAAAAAAAAAAUUGUUGCUUUGAUUUGGAAAAAAUACAUUUUUAGUUCCUAUAUUUUGGGUUUAGUUUUGUUUGUCCUCUAGGUUUCAAAACAGUUUAGUUUUUCUAAAAAAAAUUCAAAAGAAUUUUGUUUGUUCCUUAUUUAGUUUUUAAGUUUUGAGUUUUAUUGCCAUUUGAUUGUUAGAUUCUAAGAUUUUAACUAAAUGUUCACUUUUUUUUCCUUACUUUUAAUGCCUAUUAAUGAAUUUAAAUAGUGAAUUUCUUAGUCUUAAUGCCUAUUAACGAAUUUAAAAGAAUGUUAGUUAGUUAGGUUUCACUGUUUUUCAUUUACUAUUGAAAUUAAAGUUAAAUUUUUACUUCCUAAUUAUUUUUAAUUCAUUAAUAAGUAUUGACACGAAUGAUUGGAAGUGAGUAUUUCAUGGGAAAAAAAAAGCUUAAAAAUGCAAAUCUUGAAACAUAAUUAUAAAAAAGGUGAUCGUCUUUUUAAAAAAAUCCAACCUCGAAUCAACCAUAGUUGGUCCAGUAAAGUAUCAAACUGACCUCAACAUCCAUGAGUAAGGGUGGUCUGCUUAACACUUAGAAAUUUUUUAUUUGAAACUUUUUUAAACCAAUCUCAAAUCGAUCCCUCUUGAUCGACCGACUUCGGAUUGGUUGGUUGGUUGGUUUGAUUUUUCGAUCUAUCAUGCUCUUUCUAUCAAAUUAAAAUAAAACUUAAAUUUUAAGAGUAAUGAUAUAACAUUUUAAAACUUAGAAAUGAAGGUCAAAUCAAACUCAAAAUUUAAGGAGGAAGAGAGCAAUAAUGGUAACUUAACAUCUAAAUAGUAAUUGGAUUCAAAAGUUAGAAACAAAAUAUGUACUUUUCCAUCUAUGACAAUAUAUCCAAUAAAUUCUUCGAUAGCUUUUUUAAAGCAUUUUCUUAAGUAAGAUGUAUAACGUUGUACCUUUAGAGAUUUUAAGUCAAUUUAAAAUUGUGAAUUGUAGAAGAGAUUAAGUGUUAAGAUGAGAGUGACAUAAAUAAUAAUGCAAAUAAUUAUGGAGUUUGGUGAUAAUGCAUUCAAUAUUAGGGAUGUAAACUUUUAACAAUUUCUUUUAUAAUCACAGGCCAAUAAAUUUUGGUAAAUGUCACUUUACCUUAAACUAAAAUUGGAUGUGAUUUAUCUCUAAAAUUUUGAUAGGUAAUUAUCAACAAAUGAAAAGAUGCAUUUCUUCUUGCUUUAAAUACAUUAGAUUGUUUAUGUUUUAUUAAAACCCUUUUAACUUUAAUCAAUGUUUCUAUUUAUUUCUUAAUCUCAAGAUUAAAAUUGGUUAAGACGUAGUUUGAAAUGAUUAUACUUUUUAGAAUAAUUUAUGUUAAUUAUGCAUUUAUAGAAAAAUUACUUAUAGUAGCGAGUAAAUUAGUAUGGUCAAUGUUAGGAUGGGUUGGUUUCUAGUAUUUAACAAAUAUUAAUCGUCCAUUUGAUAACGUUUUCAUUUUCUGUUCGUUCUUUGUUUUUUCUUUUGUUAGAACAAGAAACAGAAAUAUGUUUGCUUAACUAUCUCUAGUUUUUGUUUUUGAAACUUGUUUGAUAACUGUUUCUUGUUUUUGGUACUUUUUCCACUUACAUAUUUUAUAGUUCGAAAUAUAAUCUAAUUAUAUAAAAUAAAAACAUAUAGUAUGCAUUAAAAUAUAAAAAAUAAUUAUCAAAUACAUAAACGGUCAAAUAUACUUAAGGUAUGAUGUAAAAUUAACCAAAUUCAAUUAAGUUAUUUGUUUUAAAUUUUAAAUUACGUGUAUAAAUGAAAAAAAUAUUAAAAUGAAUCUAAAUAAAUAGAUCAACUAACAAAAUUUAACUAUUAUAAAAUUAUAACUAGUUUUGUCUAUAAGAAAAAUAAAAGUAAUAAAUUUUAAAAAUAGGUUUUUUCAAAACAGACUAUUUACCCUCAAUAAAAUUAUAAAUAUUUUAUUUUUCACAAUUUUACUUUUUAAAACAAUGUAUAAAAUUUCAUAUUAUAAAAUUUAAAAUUUAAAUUUCAGAAAAUAUAAAAAGAUAUUUUAAAUAACAAAAUUGCUAAAAAUAUUUAUAAAUAAUAGCAAAAUAUCACGACACUCUAUAUUUUACUAUUAUUUUUAAGUAAUUUACUUCGUUUCUAAUGAUAAUUUUAAAUUUGAAAAGCCAAACAAUAUAUAAAUUUAAAAUUUUGAAAAUUCAAAAUUCAAAGUUCAAAAUUAAUUUUUUUAUAAACAAUCUAGUUCAUUUUUCUUUAUUUGAAUACAACCCAAAUGAAAAUUUGAAUUUGGAAAAUAAAAGAAAUUUAUAAAUCUAAAUAUUUUUAAUUAAAAAUUGAAAAAUAAAUUAAGAUAAUGAAAAAUAAUAAAUAAAAGAAAGUAAGAAUUCUAAAAUAAAUAUCGAAGAAGGAACGAAAAAGUUAUUAAACUGGUCUUUGUAUUAUUAUAUUUUAUAUAUAAUAACUAAAGAGGAAAUUUACAUUUAUUUUCUAUAAUUUAAAUUUUUUAAAGUAGUUUGUUUAAAAUGUGUAUUUUGUUUACUUUAAUUAAUUGGUAAGUAGAAUUAAGAGAAAUAGUUAUAUUUUUCAAUUUUUUUAUUUAAAAAAAAAACUAUAUCGUAAAGUAAAAGUUGUAUCAAAGAGUGAUGUGAUUUUUAUAAAUGUCAUCUAAAACUCAAUACAAAUUGUCAAAUUGUAUUUAAAAAUGGUACGAAAUAAAAGUGUGCUAUCAAUUGGUUGUAUGAAACGUGAAAAAGUCAGUCAUUUUUUUUCUAAAUCACUUUUAACCUCUCAUGGUUCACUCCAACCUCACCUAAAUCUAAAUUUGAAGUAUAGUUUUGAUUAACAUGGAGUGGAUCAAUCAAUUGUACCAAAGAAAAAAAAAAGGUUAUAUGAAUUGGUAAUGUUUCAUAAGACUUCUAUUCAUAAUCAUAUUAAUAUCAAAUUAUGAUAUGACUAAAUGAUAUAAUUCACUCCUUUGUCACAAGAGAUCCCAAUUAAAGUAUCGAUCAACUGUAAACCAAACGAGAAAUGUUUUAUUUAGCAAGUUAUGCUCGGAUUGACAACAACUAUAUUUUAGAAACAAAAAUAUUUGUAAACCAAACGAGAAAUGUUUGUUGAACUAUAAAAAAAUUCCUUAAAUACAAUUGAACUAAACACGAAAGAAUUUCUCAAUUCUACAAAUGAGUAGACUUGAUCAAACCCAUAUGAGAUAUAUUUUGAGCAGUACUACCAUUAUAUAGUAGCCUCGUGAGAAAUGUGGUUGAACACCUCCUUAGAAUCAUCACAUAAACGAAGAAUAUAGUCAAAUUGUAGAUAGCUAUGUAUGUGUGGAUUUGUAACAACCAAACUUAAGCUUACAUAAUUUACCUAUUCAAUAAUAAACGUUGUUCGUUUUUACAUGAAGAGUUUGUAAUUUAUCUUCAAAGAUUUGUAAUUACUUAUAAAUUCUCAUAUAUAUCUUUAGUUUUGAAGUUGAUAGUACAAAAUUUAUCUUCAUUGAGAUAUGCUCAUAUUAAUUGUUGCCUAUGUGUUUAUGAUGUGUUUGAUUAUUUAUAAUAGGAGUGGUCAUUGGUCAGUCAGAGUUGAUUUUUCGACCAAACCGACACGAACCAACUAUGAUCAAUUUAGUAAAUGUUCUAACCAAUGUCGACUAUAAAAAACGUACAGACUAACCGUUAGUCGGUCAAUCGAUAAAUGGUUUAGGUCAAUUUAAACCUUUGAAUAUUUUAAAAUGUUCUCAUUCCAAACCGACACGGCCGACUAAACCUCUCCUUAUCUCCAAAUGGUCACCUUCAAUUUGGUUGGGUUUUCAACUCGAUUUUUUUGUCUAUCAUAAUAAAUCACUCCAAUUUUAUAAAAGCUCUCUCUCUUUGUUCUUUAAUAAAGAGAGACUUUUAUUCGUAAGUUGUUAGGAUAACCUUAUCAUGAAAUCAAAUCAAGUGAAGCUAAGAAGAGAAUAGCCACUUCCCCUCCUUCAACUUAAAAGAGAGAAUGUUCAACAUCAACCAUCAUUAAUAAUAUUUGAAAAAGGGAAACAACAAACUUGAAAAUUCAAAGCUUCCCAAAAUUAAAUUAAUAUUUCAUUUAUAUCCAAAGUUGAAAUCGUUUGCAUUCAAAUUCUAUCCUAACCAUGGUAACGAUUUAAAUUUUAAAUUUUUACAACUGUGUCAAUUUAUAUCAUUUAAAUUUUAAAAGAGUUUAUGAAUUUAAUUAAUUAAUAAAAGAACGAUUUUAACAUGAUUUUUUUUGGAACAAAGUCUCUUUUUAAAAUAUUUUUUUAAUAGGUUAAAAUACUAUUUUUUUCUUCAUAUUAUAUUAAUUGAUAAUGUACAUUAUUCAUUGUACAAGAUUCUUCUCAAAAUUGUAAAAUUACUAUCUAAAUUUUCAAAUUUUAUUACAUAAAUCAACAAAAGAAAAACAAAACAUUAAAGAAAAUGUUAUUUAAAUUAACAAUUAUUUUGUUUAAGGCUUUUACAUCAUUUCUCUCUUUUUUUUUUCUUCUUUCAUUAAAAAAAGAAAGAAAAAGCUUUUCUCCAUUUUCCACACAAACUUCACUCAUUGGUUAUACAUAAUAAGAAAUUUUCUUUUUAUAAAUAAAAAAAAUACAAAUAUUGUUAUAAUUUUGAAUUUUAUUAAAAAAAAGUGAAAAAGAAAGUAAACAAAAACAAAAGCAAUAUUAAUAUUAAUAUGCCACGUCGGAAUUGGAAAUUAAAAGAAAACAAAGAAGUGGGCCCUAUUUUAUUUUGCAAACCGGCUCUUGCCGUUGCCCGUCACCAUUUUGUACUUUUUUUAAUUUACUAAAUUGCAAACAUAAAUUCCACUAAGUAUUCAUCUUCUUCAUGUUUGUGAAAAAAUGAAGACUUAGUUAACAAGGUGCCUUUAGAAACAAUUAAGAUUGAGAGAAUAAAGAUUGGUAAUUCAAUUCGACGAUACAAUAUUUAUAUUUAGAGGGUGCUUGACAUGUGAUAAGAGAUUAUAUAUUAUAUUGUGAUAUAAUUCAAUGAUUACAGAAUUAUGAGACAAACAGUACAAACAUAUAUACAUAUAGUCUCAACAUGUUGUACGUAGUGAUAACAUUUUACUAACAAAUGAAUAAGAACAUUCACUGAUGUUUGUCAUAGGAAGCAACAAAAGGAAACACUCCCUCUUAGUCAGACAUCAACAAUAUGUAAUCAAUCAAGCGUCACUUGAUCUUCAAUAAUCUCAAUUCGCUCUCCUGAUCAUUGAGUAGAAAACUUCAUUUAAUAUUUCCUUUUCACUCACCACGGAGUACCCGAACUUGUCUCUAACUUUUCUUUUCGAAAGCCUUUCUAUAAAGAGUAGAGUUCUGCCCGCUUGAGAGCAAAACAAGAAUCGAAUAAGAACUGAAAUCAACAGUCCAACAAAAUUGAAAACUAGGACUGAAUCUCAAUAAGGAUUGACAAAAAUAAUAACAAAAUAGAAAGUUUACUUUAGAUAAAUAGAAUUUUUUUAUUUAAAUUGAUAAAAUAGAAAAAUAAUUAAAGGAACAAUGUCUUAAAUGCCCUUACCUAACUAAAAAAAUUGAAGCAUAAAUACAAUUAUUCAAGAAACCACAAAUACUCCAUAAUUAAAAUCAAACUCGCUACACACAACUAACACCUAUCAAAAUCAAACUCAUAACACACAAUCAAACUCCUCCGCUACAAAUCCAUGACCAACGUUAGACGCCGUCAAAUGUUGCUUGAAAAAGCAUGUCCCCACUGACGUUGAAACUUAGUUAAGAUUUGCCAAAUUUGAAUGUUGCUUGCAAAAUACCAAGUGGAAUGAUAUUAUAUCUUGAUGACCAAAAGUUUUGUGUCCUAAAUCUGUUGUUUAUAACAUCAUUCAUAAUCGACAUAUACUAUGUUUGGAAAAUCUUGAUUAUAUUAGUUAUUAUAAAGCUUGGUUAGUUAAACAACUGUGAUUGUGAUUCAAUGAUAUUAAUAUUUGAACAUGUGAUCGUGAUAUAGAAUGAAUAGUUUAUCACAUUAUUUAAAAGCAUAAAAUUACAAUGUAAUUGUGUGUGCAACAUAUGUUAAACAUUUUGUCAAAUACUAUGAAACUAAUCUGGAAAGAAUAAUAUUGUCAUGUAGUAUGUACAAAUGCAUCGUAACUCUAUAGAAAAUCAAUGCAAUCAAACAUGACCAAUUUAACCAAUAAAUCGAUUUUAUUAAAUUAAGAAAUCGAAGUUUUUAAUGUAUUUCUUUCUUUCUCACGUUUUAUAAAACUAAUUUUUCUCAAAACAUGAAGGGAGACCUACAUCGUACCGCGAGUUUGUCCGCGACUUUUGGAUUUCGCACGACUGACUUGUUCACCAAAGCUAGAACAAGUGCAACACAAUCACAUGUCCCGUGUUUGAAAAUUUGCGAUUGUGACACUUAUGGCCCUCGAUUUAUAGAUGGUUGGACUUGGGAUCGGAGGAAAUGCUAUUUCAGGUCGACCAUAGCGACUAAAAUCAUGACUCAUAGAAUGGAGGAUUUCAUAGAAGAAAAGAAGCUCAACUCAACCUCGAGUUGAGGUCGAGCUAGACCAUUAGGCUCAAUGAAGAUACCCUUUCCUCACCCACAACUAGCUAGGCCAUUUGGCCCAACAUAAACACUUGCCUCAACCACAACUUCUCGAGGCAGAGUGGUAGACAAGUUGCAUGCACCAUUUCGUCGCCCAAUAUCUUUCAUUUCCAUAAAUUCUUCCUCUUCUCCCAUUGGCCUCACUUGGUUGUCAUUACUUCUUCAAUAUGAAAUUAACACUUCAUAGUAAUUAUAUAUUUGAUAAAGGGAUGAACUAUCAUUUCAAAAUUGGACCCUAUCAGCUUCAAAAGAAAUGAAAUCUUUGGUAAUAAAUAAUGGAGACCGUCCACCUAUAUACUUUUCGCAGGUUAUAUUAUAAGUAAAGAGUAAUGUAUUGGUGAGUGGCAGUACAUAAAUGUUCUGCUGAAAAUGGUGGAUGAAUUUUGAGACCAUUAUCUAAUUUUUUAACCUUAAAUAUUUGUACACUUCACGAGUAGUAUAAAUACAAGUAUGCCCUAGAUUGAAGUCACAACUAUAACAAAGAAGGAACAAGGAAAGAAAUGGAAGGAGCAUCCAAAGAAGACCCAAAGGAGAUGGGGAUGUACUCUCCUUCGAGGCUCUUUAAGAGGAAAAAGUGGGCAAAGUUUGAUAAAAACUUUGCCUUUUGCUUUCUUCUUUUCCAUCUACUUUCUAUUUUGGCACCAUUAUUCUAUUUUAGUUAGGAGUGUCUCUUGAUUUCUUUGGAAUUAACCAAUCUAACCGGUAUGACAAUUAGUAUUUCGUAUCAUAGAAAUCUUGCACAUCGAAACUUCGAACUUCCAAAAUGGCUCGAAUAUUCUCUUGCUUAUUAUUAUUUUACCAUAUUUGAAAAAAAUUCAAACAAAAAUUUUAUUAUUUAAAAUAAUUUUCUUAACAAUAAGCUAACUAGAAAAUUUGUUAUUAAAUUUAUUUAUUAAAAGCAAAUUAUAACCCUCAAAUUUCCCUAACUUUUUUAACAUACAAAAUCUACAAUAAUAUGUUCAACAUAAUUACUUCCGGCUAUGAACUCUCCUUUUUUUAAAAAAAAAAAAGUGAAAACGAAAAAAAAUAUAUUAUUUAUUAUUAAUUAUUUAGAAAACGAGAGAUGGCAUUCUUUUUCAAUUUUCGUCUCAAAAAUAUUUUUCUCCUCCCUCUCAUUUUCAACUUUAUUCAACCAAUCAACACCUUCCACGUUUCAGCUAACCCAAAUAGUUAUAUUUCAAAAGUGUCGGUGGGUGUAAAUGCGUUUCUUUCUUUAUUAUUAUUAUUAUUAAUUAAUUGUUAUUGUUUUGCUUAAUUUAAACUUCUUCUUAUAUUUUAUUAUGUAGAAAAUAAAAAAAAAAUUGUUUAAAUAUUAAGAGCGUGGCACAACACUCAUAAUUGAGUUGAAAUUUGAAAAUAUAAUAAUAAUCAUAAUCAUAAUCAUAAUUAAUAAGCUUCUCACAAUCUUAUUAUAAUUCAUUCAUUCAAGUCUAAUGUUUCUAAAAUAAAGAAAUAAAAAUAUUUGAAAUUAAAUGAAAGGACAAAUGAAUGAUGAAAAACUUGACAUCAUUUUCUCUUUUACGAAAAGCCACAUUGAUGGUUACUACUUUCAAGAGGGAAAAAUAAAGAGAUUAUGGGAAGGGAACAUAUGCUUCCAUAUCAAUAAACCUUUUUUCCUACACAACAAUUGAUUAAAGUUUGGAUGAUAGGAUGAAUUAAUUUCUUUCUUUCUUUUGCUUUUUUUUUUGUAUAUUUAUUAAUAAAUAGAAUAAAACAUUUAACAAUUUUUUUUACACACAAUAUUCUUUAUCUCUCUUGAUUUUUUUCCUUAAAUAUAAUGGAUAGAGACUAGAUUUAUAUACAAAGUAAAGAGUUUGAUUCACUGGAUGUGGUACUGGAGUACGACAUUUAUGGAGAAUGGAUAAGAUAAGGUAUAUAAAGAAGAAGUCUUUUUAAUCUAAUGGAUUUUAUUAGUUUCCUCGAAGGGACGAGACAUGUACGUAAGAAAAUUGAAGUGUUUGAACUAAUAUGGUUAGAGAAAAGUAACAUAUUGUGAUGUUAUAUUUUAAGAUUGAUGAUUUGAUAGUAUAGAAGUGAACUAAAGGCGGUAGUAUUUUCUUCUUUUGUUGGGGACAAGGGUGAUGACAAAUAUUGUCGAAAGUCAUUUGCUAUAAAUAGAAGUCGAUAUCGUAAUAAUUAGUUUGGCAUUAUACAUAUAUAAAAAAGUUGUAAAAAUUAGUAGGGGAAGAAAAAGUAGAAUUUGCACUAAGCUUUUUAAUUUACAAAAUUAUUCAUCUUAGGAAUUUGAAUGCUUACAUAGUGCAUAAGAAAACAAUGAGUUAGAAAUUGGGAGAAAAAUGGAUUUCUUUGAAAAACAAAAAGAUAAAUAUAUAUAUAAAUGUGAAACAAAACUAUCAAAACUUAAUCAUUUUUUCAUUGUCGAUAAAAAUGUUCCAAAGUUAGUUAAUGUAUUAAUCAAACUUAAAUUAGAAGAAAUUAGUUUUAUAUAAAAAUUCAAUCUUAUUUAUAAAAUUAAAAAAAGAAAAAGGUAGAGAGAGUGAGUGUCGGCGAAGGAAACAAAAUGUGAGAGCGUGUGGGGACCAGCAUUGCCAGUUGG